rnacentral:miRNA from 1 species
GUCUCGGUGCAAGGACUGGAGG